CCGUGCUGAGACUUGAACCCAGGACCUCGGGCCUGCUGGACACAUCUUGUACCACUGUGCUGCAUUUCCAGCAUAGCAGAGUCCAUUUUAAAAAACUAACACGCCAUGUUGAUGUUCCUCACUUGUCUCUCACACCCGGAGCCUCUGUGAGACCAGCGGAGGAGCGGCUGGCUCUCCUUUCUCCGGUGCUCGGAACUGAGCCGCUGGGGGAGCCGCAGGGCCGAGCCCCGGACUCCUCUC
rnacentral:lncRNA from 1 species